CUGAAACAUACUGAACGUUGAGCUAGCUUUUUUGGCUCUGUUUAACGUCAAAGUGAGGGACCGGUGUUACAGCAAUAUAUGCAUACAACGUGUUUAGGUUACGUUUCAAUAAAUUAAAGUUGACGGGGCUGCAUCUGCGGUUCGCAAUUUGGCAAUUUCUCAAAUUUUCUAAAAAUUUUAUAAGUAAUAAGUAUACUAUAUUCUAAAAAUCAUAUUUUUACCCAAAAUGUCUACAUUUAGAUGCAUCACACCCAUAAAUUUAUAAUAAUUGUAAUUUUUGUGCACUAUUCAAAAUAUCCCAUCAAAAAACGCAAAUUUGUUUUGGCGUAUCACUAGGUAUUUGCUUUAGAAACAUAUUCUAAUCUGAAAUUUAAAUAGUCAAUAAUAUAAUUCAAAUACUAAUAGAACCCUUAGACGAGUUCCUCGACUAUCAGAUACCUGAUACUCAGCUAGUUGGCGAGUUAAAAAUAUAUUUUACAUUUUUGUUGCCACAGCGAUAUAAAUUGGCAAGACAAAAAGUAAAUAGGAAAUGUGGAAUUGUAGUCGUGACAGUUUUUUGCGGGUUGAAGGCGAUAAGUCGGCGUGGAAAAUUUGUUGUCGGCAUUUUAAAAUUAAAACAAACCUUAAAAAAUAAAAGAAGGCAUCUACAGUUAGCCGGUUAAUAAAAUAUUCAUAAAUAAGAGACGCUUUAGAUGAGUUCCUUGACUAUCAGAUACCCUAACAUAGAUUGUGGAAUAGGCAAAUUGGCAACACAAAUACCAUAUAAAAAGUAAAAAAACUAUUCAAAAGUUUGGUAGUGUUAUUUUUGGGCGGUUAGUGGGCAUUUGAUUGGUCGUGUCAGCGGUUUAAAUUGAUAUUGUUUUUGGCACAAAAACAAGACUGUACCUAUAGUUAACACUGAUUAAUACUAAUGUUACAUAAACACAAAAAAUGUAAUUACAAAAGAGACGCGAAGUUUUCAGCUCCUUGUUUAGUCGCACAGACGUGUUACAUAAUGUAUGUAAACUAAUUGUAUUUUAUUAUGUUAAAUGUGACAAUCAACGUAAGGAUUCUAUUAUGUAAUUAUUCGAUGCAGCUAAGGCACCGCAUCUUUUGUCGUAUAGAUCUCUGCACAAAUCGUAGUAAUCGUAAUUUGUAUAAAAUAUAUGUAUGAUUUUCCCUGACCACCAGACUGAAUUUAACCAACAUAACAUAAGCAUAACAUAACGUUGCGGCCUAUCGGGAGCAGCAAAGCCGAUUCCCUGGCAACAAGGACAGCGCAACCGACAGCUGAAGCCACAGCUUUUUAGGGACAAUUUAGGUCAACGAACUGGAGGAUCGGAUUAUCGUAGUGCGUGGAGUCUCAAGCAGGCAGAGGCUGUGCAUAUUGUUUGUUAUCUACAAAUUGAGGAAAUGCUCUUUCAAAUCAAAACGCACUGUAUGUGAAGAAGCAAAUAAUACAUCGCUGCUAUUCGUUGUACCACAAAGAAGUACAAGCCCAUCUACGCCAAGAGGCAAGACAUAAUACUGCUAUAACACAAAUCAAUCAGCGUGCGGAGGGAUUAUUUCACGGCAACUUUAAUACAUGUGGAUCAAAUCAGGUGCAUCUUUCUCAUCUUAUUCAGCAGGAGGAAAGUUUUCAACAAACACUUAACAAGUUUUGAGAGAUAGAAGACUACAUGCAAGCUCCGCCACAAUAUAUCAGGGAGGAAGAGCUCGUUAAAGUUAUGCUUUCAAUAGUAUUGCACGCGAGUUGCCACCCCGCCCCCUAAGCCUCCAUGCCUCUGACUAGGAAACGGACAACGGCUUUUAUUAAAGCCUCAAUCCCGCAAGAGCUAUUCAACAAAUCAGACGUCUCAUUCUUAGGAUACAACCGUCACUUGCUUAGCAAGUAAAACGCUAUCACUUUCCACUCAUUUGGAUCCUCGAAUAAUAACUGGAGUAGCCGGUAGAAUGUCCUGCCUGCUAUUUAUUACUUACCUGUACGUAAGAAAAAUGUAAAAAAGUAAACGAAGCAUAAAAUAAAAUGUGGGAAGUAAAUUAAUUGUGAUUCAAGAAAGGAAAA